rnacentral:lncRNA from 1 species
GUUUUUUUUGGUGUCCUCUCCAUUAAUCGGGCUGAGUUUCAAGCAUCUCUGCUCUGUGCAGUGGUCUCAGCGCUAACUCUUUGCCCCAAACCUCAACUCCUGUCCUCCUGAUGCUCUUGCUGUCGGGUAAAUUUCUAGGUCAGCUAACUCCCCACUUCCACCCCGGGCACGCAGCUGUGAAUCACACUGCAGUGCUCUGGCUUUUGGUCCCUCUUUCUUCCUAGCAUCUGACGGUCUCUGGUUCUUGUGUGCUCAUGUAAGUAUGCGUUUUAAAUAAACUUUGUCAUAUUUUAUCUAACACUUUCAGCAAUAGCUGGAGGCACUUCACAUACGCUGACUCUGCCAAUACUGGAAACCCAGGCUCCAGGGGUUAUUAAAACCAAAAUAACUAGCUCUCCUGGAUGUUAGCUCAUGGUCAAAGUCGGAUGCAGUGGCUAUCAGGCAGAAAAGGUCUUGCUUUUCAUGUGUGAUGACUAGUUAUAGUUUACGGAUGGGCUUCGAUUCUUUACUUAGCGGAUUCCUCAAAACGUGGUUCUGAUACUGAAAUCGUUGCAUGUCAUUCUCUUUCCACUUUUUUCGCUCCCCAGGGAUGGCAGGAAACCUGAGGGGAAUGAAUUCUACGGCAUUUAGAGAGAUGUUUGGCAUAUUCAGACAUGGUUGUUUUAAUCCAAAGUUUAAGAAAGAUGGGGACCUGGAGGGAGACUAUACGAAGAAGACAGGAAGUCAGACUGUCACUGGUGUGGCACGGGUUCGACCCCUGGCCAGGGAAGCUUCACAUGCUGCAGGCGCGGCCACAAGGAAAAAAGGAAGAGAAAGGAGGACGUCAGAACCUCUACUGGACUGUACAGGCAAGGAGACUGGCCUGCCUCGGAGGGUCCGUCCCUGGACUGUCUGGACACAGGCCCGCGUUUGCGAGAUGAAGCCCUCGUGGUUCCCAGACCCGAGUCCACACCCCGCUCUUCCUGUAACCCGUCCAUUAAAUGGAGUUCCGGCCCUUGGACUGUGGGUCCCAAGCUUUUCGCCAUUUUUCCACUGGGGGCGCCUCUGUCCAGUGCAGUCCUUACACUGGCUCAAUAGCAGUUGCUCGACAUAUAAAUGGGCGUUAGGCCAGAGGUUUUUUGUUGGCAUGUCUGUAUGCAUGUCCCUCUGUAUGUAUAUGCGUAUGCAUUUUGGCCCCACCGUCAGCGUGCAGAAGUUCCCCGGGCCAGAGAUGGAACCUGUGCCACAGCAGUGACAAUGCCAAAUCCUCAACCCACUAAGCCACCAGGAAACUCCCAGGCCAAAGCUUCAAAAGGAUGGGGUGCAGGGGUCAUGUGGGAGCACAUUCCAGAAAAGCCAUAUCGACACGUCAGGCUCGUCCUACAUCCUCGGACUGCAGGAGACUUGGGUCUGCGCAUGUCCUUUCAAGUCUUGGAGGGGCCUCUGCUGCAGCCUUUCCCAGACCUGCUUGACCCUGACCCCUUUGAUUUCACGUGGAAUCUCACGGGUCUUGCAUUCCUUGCUGGAUUGGGGGAGAUCUGCUUUCAAGGCCCCUGCAAGUUAGAUAAUCCACACACACAAAAAGGCAAAGGUAAAUCCAUCAUGCCUCUGGAGGUAUCCCGUUCCAAAAUAUUAUUAACCAAGUGUUUUAAUUGCUUGUCUUGGUGCCAUGUCUUUGACACCUAGACUCACCUCCUAUUGGGGGAACUUCCCUGUUCCCGGCAGCCAGGAUUCAGGGGUCAAGGGGGAGUGGACAGGGCAGAGCAGUGACCCAUCCAAAGACAUUCAAGUUUAGGGAGUUCCUGUUGUGGCUCAGCGGUAAUGAACCUGACUAGUAUCCAUGAGGAUGCAGGUUCGAUCCCUGGCCUCUUUCAGUGGGUUAAGACUCUGGUGUUGCUUUGAGCUUCGGUGUGGGUCACAGACCCGGCUGGGAUCUGGUGUGACUGCUGCGGCUGUGGCUGUGGGGUAGGUUGGCAGCUGCAGCUCUGAUUUGACCCCGAACCUGGGAACUUCCACAUGCAAAGGGUGCGACCCUAAAAGAAAAAAAAAAGACAUUCUUUCAGGUUCAGCCCCUCAGGAGGGAAAGAACACGGAGGGCUUUGAGACCUUCUGAUGUGAGGAAGCACAGGAAGGAUUCCAGAGGCUUCUCUCCCCACCACCGCCUUCUCCACUCAUCCUUUUAUACUGCGUUUAUUUCCUCCAUCGAGUUGAGUGAGAAUGAAACCGUUUACCCCCUGCUUGCCUCAAAGGAAUGUAGAAAAGAGUUUUUGGAAGGAAAAAAAAAGUUCGGUUCAGCCCACUGAGCCCAUCCCCCCCGAACCCAUCCCCCCAGCCGAGCUGGUCACCAGAAAACAAAAGCAAGGGCUGCUCUUCGCUGCCACCGCGCUGGGGAUUCACAAGUGAUUCAGCGGUGGCAGCAGCAGCAGCGGCAGCCUGGGCUUUGGAAACUUAAAGCCAAAAAGGGCAAACACAGGAGAGACAAGACAGAGGUGGGUGGAACUUUGAGCCCGGCUUAUCUCCAGAGCACACUCAUUGUCUGAGGGGCGAGCCUCCCCCUUUUGAACAAAGGACAGUCCAUGGUUAAUCAUCUUGUGAAAUGGGAAAACCCACGUGCUAAGCAGAAAGACGGUUUUAAUGGGCCAAAAAAUAACUUGCAGAGACACUGCAGGCCAAAAAAAAAAAAAAAAAAAAAAAAAAAGAGUAAUGCUCCUUUAACCAAUGUAAAGAAGAAGAAAAAAAGCGAAACCUCAUUUUCAGCUCUCAAUAGAGGAUUACCAGGCACGGAGCAGAGAGGCUUCCGGAGGCUGGCAUUCCACAGCAGCUCAUCAGGUUCGUCAAAGGAAGCAUUUCAGCCCUUCUGAACUCACAGCCUCUGGUCCACACAGCGGGAAGAACACACACACACACACACACACACACACCGAUUGCUCUAGACUGUAUUUGCAAAGAGAUGCAUUAAAAAGGGAAUUUGAGGUUAACAGAUGCAAACUAUUGCCUUUGGAAUGGAUAAGCAAUGAGAUCCUGCUGUAUAGCACUGGGAACUAUAUCUAGUCACUUAGGAUGGAGCAGGAUAAUGUGAGAAAAAAAGCAUGUAUACAGUAUGCGUGACUGGGUCACCAUGCUGUAUAGUAGAAAAUUGACAGUGUUGGGGACGUGGCUCGGAUCGUCAGUGUGGGAAAGCGAGACCCGUGAACACGGCNGGGAGAGGAGGGACUCUGGCGGCCGUGGGGACACUGGGAGAGGGUAGCAGUUCGGUGACAGCGCAGCCUGGGUUCUUGUAUCUGCCCUCCAUUGCCUGCCACGGGUGAGGUAUGUUGGGGACGUGGCUCGGAUCGUCAGUGUGGGAAAGCGAGACCCGUGAACACGGCAGAUCCCGCCCAGCUCUGCCUCUGCAGAAGGGCGCGGGUGCUCACCCAGCGCGCGGAAGCCGAGACCCUCCCUGUUUAUCCCUAACGGGGGUGCACCUGUCCCCUGCCCGGGGGUCAGGGCAGGGCGCACAUUCUUCUCGGGGGGCUCGUUGAAACAGCUUGUUCCUGGGAGAAGAGGGAAAGAGGAGGGGGUGGCAGGAGGGCGUUUCAGCCGAAACCUGAGCGAAAUGAGUCACCAAGAUUUCCUUCGAUAGACGAGACAUUAGGAUACUUUCCACAACAAAACACUGUAAACCAGGUAUAAUGGAAAAAGUAAAACUCAUUAUCUAAGAAAGAAAAACGGCUAAGCAGGAUUAGGCCUGGUUGGUACUUGAAUGGAAGGAAGGGCCAGGGUCGUGGCAGGGGCUGACUUAGAGCCUUCCUUGAGUUUGCUGGGCGGAAACUCACCUUGUGCCCACACCGUUCAUUUCCUUGCAGUCACAGGACAUUUCUGAGAGAGGGUGGAUGGCGGGGGACCGUUAGCCGUUUUCCCGAAGGAGCAGUCCUACCCCUGUUCCCUGUAUGGUUUUCUGUUACCCUUGCAGCUCAGUAGGUGGAAAAAUUAAACAUUCAAGCUACCGCUGAAAUUUCUGCUGCAAAAGAGUUUUCAACCCCUGAGUGGUCGAAGGAAGGAGAAAAGGGCUCCCCUACCCAGUAAUCCCCGCCACGAAAAAGCUUACCGUUCCUUAUUUCAGACUGGAAGUUUCCUCAGGCUCGCCACGGGGGAGGAUGCAGCUGCCUUCCACGUGGCCAUUCCUGCUGCUGGAAAUUAAGAUAACUCUGGCUUGGGUCAUCAGCGUCGGAAAGUGAGACACGUGGACAAGGAGAAAUCUCGGCAAGGCUCUUUCCUUCUGCAGAAGGGCGCGGGUGCUCCAAAAGGCACGCGUGCUGAACAAAGGACCCUCCCCCAUUGAUCCCUAGCGCAGGUGAUGGGCCUGUCCCCUUCCCAUGGGUCAGGGCAGGGCGCACAUUCUUGCCGGUUGGCUAACUGAAAUAAAUUGUUGCUGGGAAAAGGGGUAAAGAGGAGG